rnacentral:lncRNA from 1 species
GGGGGGAAAAAAAAGAAAAAAAGAAAAAAAGAAAAAGAAAAGUGAAGAGACGCAACGCGAAAAUGUACAGACGCAGAUAGAGAAAGAGGGAGACAGAUCUGAGUUAAAAGAACGAGUCAGGAACUGAGUCGAGUCAGCUGUCAGUACAAGUAGUAAAGUUUAAUAGAAGAUAGUGACCGUCGGAUCGCGUCUUCCAAAUCUGUACCAGCCGUCCGAUUACAUUUUUCUCUUAUACCUCUUAUUUUGCUUUCUUGUUUUUUUAACUCGAAUUUUGUGAAGCGGAAUCUCAAAAGAAGUUGAGAGCUUUUGAGCAAGAAGAAGAAGAAACCAAAUCGAUCGCCUCGAAAUUCAG